rnacentral:rRNA from 1 species
AGCGAACGCUGGCGGCAGGCUCAACACAUGCAAGUCGAACGGGCAUAGCAAUAUGUCAGUGGCAGACGGGUGAGUAACGCGUGGGAACAUACCUCUUGGUUCGGAACAACACAGGGAAACUUGUGCUAAUACCGGAUAAGCCCUUACGGGGAAAGAUUUAUCGCCGAGAGAUUGGCCCGCGUCUGAUUAGCUAGUUGGUAGGGUAAUGGCCUACCAAGGCGACGAUCAGAGCUGGUCUGAGAGGAUGAUCAGCCACAUUGGGACUGAGACACGGCCCAAACUCCUACGGGAGGCAGCAGUGGGGAAUAUUGGACAAUGGGCGCAAGCCUGAUCCAGCCAUGCCGCGUGAGUGAUGAAGGCCCUAGGGUUGUAAAGCUCUUUUACCCGGGAAGAUAAUGACUGUACCGGGAGAAUAAGCCCCGGCUAACUUCGUGCCAGCCGCCGCGGU